AGACCUGUUUUAACUCUGAGGUGUAAACAUGUCUGUGCUGAAAUUCCUCUCCCUCCAUCUGGUUCUCCUUUUCUCUGUGCACGCAGUGGUGUUUCCCACCGACGGAAAUUUUGCUGAACUUCAUGCCAGGUGUCGGUUCAGAAAAAAAUAUGACAUUGAAUAUAUUGAAGAAAAUUAUUUCAACAAGAAGAAGAUGUUAUUCUACAACACCACCAAGGAUUAUUGGAUAGGAUACACACCCUCUGGAACAGAUCUUGCAAACAUAUUUAACAAAGAUCCUUAUCACAAAGAUGCAAAAAGAGCUGCAAAGGACAUUUUGUGUGUGGCCCACGCUGAUCCAUUGUACAACUUCCUACAAAAUUAUACACUUACGCCGCACAUCCGUCUGAGGUCAGUGAAGCCGACGGGUACUAGACACUCAGCCAUGCUCGUGUGCAGCGCUUAUGACUUCUACCCCAAAACCAUAAUAAUGACCUGGUUAAAGAACAAACGGGCAGUGACCUCUGAUGUGAUCUCUACUGAGGAAAUGUCCAAUGGAGACUGGAGCUACCAGAUCCACUUAUAUCUGGAGUACACGCCCACAGCUGGAGAGAUAAUCACCUGUAUGGUGGAGCACAUCACCCUCACUGAGCCUCAGCUGUAUGACUGGGGUAAACGUUUGAUUUUCCACUGACUCCUUACCUUUAUGUUGAUUGCAUGGUGUGUGUGAGUCUUACAGCAAAAACCUAACACAUUCACGUGUUCCAGAGUGUGUAGAUCCAACCAUUUGGUCAAGGCAAUAGUACACUGAUGAGCCAAAACAUUCUGACCACUCACAGGUGAAACAAAAAACGUUGAUCAUCUCCUGACAAGGGGCACAUGUCAAGAUCUGGGUUGAUUAGACGGUGGAAGGCUGUGUACGUUUGCCUGGGGAAGUGAUGGCACCAGGCUGCACUGUCGGAAGCCGACAAACCAAUGGAGUAGGUGGAGAUCUCAAUCUGAUUGAGUGUCUAUGGGAUGUGCUAGACCAACAAGUCCGAUCCACAGCAGCUCCCCCUCGCAACUGGAAGGACUUGAAAGCUCUGCUGCUAAUGUCUUGGUGCCAGAUACCAGAUGACCCCUUCAGGGGUCUUGUAGAGACCAUGCCUUGGUGGGUUGGCACUGUUUUGGCAGCAGGCAGAGGACCAACAGUGGUUAUAAUGUUUUGUCUCAUCAGUUAAUAGUGUAUCUUAUGUAGAACUAAUUGAAGCAAACUGUUGACAAAUGUCAACUUGUCCUGAUGAGAUAUACACAGUAACCAAAACGACGAGCCAGGGUAGGGGUAAAAGAAACACAUCAAUUUAAAGUGUUUCUUAAACUCCUCACAAGAUAAAUUAAUGGCAAAUUGCGAAAAGAGACAGUACAGUGGGGAAAACAAGUAUUUGAUACAUUGCCGAUUUUGCAGGUUU